AUUGAACGCUGGCGGCAGGCCUAACACAUGCAAGUCGAGCGAGCGGCGGACGGGUGAGUAAUGUCUGGGGACUGCCCGAUAGAGGGGGAUAACUACUGGAAACGGUAGCUAAUACCGCAUACUAUCGGAUAACCCAUAUGGGAUUAGCUAGUAGGUGAGGUAAUGGCUCACCUAGGCGACGAUCCCUAGCUGGUCUGAGAGGAUGACCAGGCACACGUGGAAGGGGACAAGGCCCAGAACCCUACGGAGGGAGGAGUGGGGAAAAUUGCAAAAGGGGGCGAAGGCUGGUGGAGCCAUGCCGGGGGUAGGAAGAAGGGCCUAGGGUUGUAAAAUACUUUCAGUAGGGAGGCGUUACCGAGAGAAGAAGGACCGGGUAACUCCGGUGCAGCAGCCGCGGUAAUUC
rnacentral:rRNA from 1 species